UUUAUGGAGAGUUUGAUCCUGGCUCAGGAUGAACGCUGGCGGCGUGCCUAAUACAUGCAAGUCGAGCGAACGGAUGAGAAGCUUGCUUCUCUGAUGUUAGCGGCGGACGGGUGAGUAACACGUGGAUAACCUACCUAUAAGACUGGGAUAACUUCGGGAAACCGGAGCUAAUACCGGAUAAUAUUUUGAACCGCAUGGUUCAAAAGUGAAAGACGGUCUUGCUGUCACUUAUAGAUGGAUCCGCGCUGCAUUAGCUAGUUGGUAAGGUAACGGCUUACCAAGGCAACGAUGCAUAGCCGACCUGAGAGGGUGAUCGGCCACACUGGAACUGAGAC
rnacentral:rRNA from 1 species